ensembl:snoRNA SNORD33 Small nucleolar RNA Z195/SNORD33/SNORD32 family
GAGGCCGGUGAUGAGGACUUCUCCCACUCCUGUCACGUUUCCCAACCAUGAGAUGACUCCACAUCCACUACCAUCUGAGGCUGC